rnacentral:rRNA from 1 species
GGGUUGUGAGGUUAAGCGACUAAGCGUACACGGUGGAUGCCCUGGCAGUCAGAGGCGAUGAAGGACGUGCUAAUCUGCGAUAAGCGCCGGUAAGGUGAUAUGAACCGUUAUAACCGGCGAUUUCCGAAUGGGGAAACCCAGUGUGAUUCGUCACACUAUCAUUAACUGAAUCCAUAGGUUAAUGAGGCGAACCGGGGGAACUGAAACAUCUAAGUACCCCGAGGAAAAGAAAUCAACCGAGAUUCCCCCAGUAGCGGCGAGCGAACGGGGAGGAGCCCAGAGCCUGAAUCAGCAUGUGUGUUAGUGGAAGCGUCUGGAAAGGCGCGCGAUACAGGGUGACAGCCCCGUACACAAAAGCGCAUGUGCUGUGAGCUCGAUGAGUAGGGCGGGACACGUGGUAUCCUGUCUGAAUAUGGGGGGACCAUCCUCCAAGGCUAAAUACUCCUGACUGACCGAUAGUGAACCAGUACCGUGAGGGAAAGGCGAAAAGAACCCCGGCGAGGGGAGUGAAAAAGAACCUGAAACCGUGUACGUACAAGCAGUGGGAGCACAGGUUUACCUGUGUGACUGCGUACCUUUUGUAUAAUGGGUCAGCGACUUAUAUUCUGUAGCAAGGUUAACCGUAUAGGGGAGCCGGAGGGAAACCGAGUCUUAACCGGGCGUUAAGUUGCAGGGUAUAGACCCGAAACCCGGUGAUCUAGCCAUGGGCAGGUUGAAGGUUGGGUAACACUAACUGGAGGACCGAACCGACUAAUGUUGAAAAAUUAGCGGAUGACCUGUGGCUGGGGGUGAAAGGCCAAUCAAACCGGGAGAUAGCUGGUUCUCCCCGAAAGCUAUUUAGGUAGCGCCUCGUGAAUUCAUCUCCGGGGGUAGAGCACUGUUUCGGCUAGGGGGCCAUCCCGGCUUACCAACCCGAUGCAAACUGCGAAUACCGGAGAAUGUUAUCACGGGAGACACACGGCGGGUGCUAACGUCCGUCGUGAAGAGGGAAACAACCCAGACCGCCAGCUAAGGUCCCAAAGUCAUGGUUAAGUGGGAAACGAUGUGGGAAGGCCCAGACAGCCAGGAUGUUGGCUUAGAAGCAGCCAUCAUUUAAAGAAAGCGUAAUAGCUCACUGGUCGAGUCGGCCUGCGCGGAAGAUGUAACGGGGCUAAACCAUGCACCGAAGCUGCGGCAGCGACACUCAGGUGUUGUUGGGUAGGGGAGCGUUCUGUAAGCCUGUGAAGGUGGCCUGUGAGGGUUGCUGGAGGUAUCAGAAGUGCGAAUGCUGACAUAAGUAACGAUAAAGCGGGUGAAAAGCCCGCUCGCCGGAAGACCAAGGGUUCCUGUCCAACGUUAAUCGGGGCAGGGUGAGUCGACCCCUAAGGCGAGGCCGAAAGGCGUAGUCGAUGGGAAACGGGUUAAUAUUCCCGUACUUGGUGUUACUGCGAAGGGGGGACGGAGAAGGCUAUGUUGGCCGGGCGACGGUUGUCCCGGUUUAAGCGUGUAGGUGUGUGUUCCAGGUAAAUCCGGUUCACUUUAACACUGAGGCGUGACGACGAGGCACUACGGUGCUGAAGCAACAAAUGCCCUGCUUCCAGGAAAAGCCUCUAAGCAUCAGGUAACAUCAAAUCGUACCCCAAACCGACACAGGUGGUCAGGUAGAGAAUACCAAGGCGCUUGAGAGAACUCGGGUGAAGGAACUAGGCAAAAUGGUGCCGUAACUUCGGGAGAAGGCACGCUGACACGUAGGUGAAGUGAUUUACUCAUGGAGCUGAAGUCAGUCGAAGAUACCAGCUGGCUGCAACUGUUUAUUAAAAACACAGCACUGUGCAAACACGAAAGUGGACGUAUACGGUGUGACGCCUGCCCGGUGCCGGAAGGUUAAUUGAUGGGGUCAGCGCAAGCGAAGCUCCUGAUCGAAGCCCCGGUAAACGGCGGCCGUAACUAUAACGGUCCUAAGGUAGCGAAAUUCCUUGUCGGGUAAGUUCCGACCUGCACGAAUGGCGUAAUGAUGGCCAGGCUGUCUCCACCCGAGACUCAGUGAAAUUGAACUCGCUGUGAAGAUGCAGUGUACCCGCGGCAAGACGGAAAGACCCCGUGAACCUUUACUAUAGCUUGACACUGAACAUUGAGCCUUGAUGUGUAGGAUAGGUGGGAGGCUUUGAAGUGUGGACGCCAGUCUGCAUGGAGCCGACCUUGAAAUACCACCCUUUAAUGUUUGAUGUUCUAACGUGGACCCGUUACCCGGGUUGCGGACAGUGUCUGGUGGGUAGUUUGACUGGGGCGGUCUCCUCCUAAAGAGUAACGGAGGAGCACGAAGGUUGGCUAAUCCUGGUCGGACAUCAGGAGGUUAGUGCAAUGGCAUAAGCCAGCUUGACUGCGAGCGUGACGGCGCGAGCAGGUGCGAAAGCAGGUCAUAGUGAUCCGGUGGUUCUGAAUGGAAGGGCCAUCGCUCAACGGAUAAAAGGUACUCCGGGGAUAACAGGCUGAUACCGCCCAAGAGUUCAUAUCGACGGCGGUGUUUGGCACCUCGAUGUCGGCUCAUCACAUCCUGGGGCUGAAGUAGGUCCCAAGGGUAUGGCUGUUCGCCAUUUAAAGUGGUACGCGAGCUGGGUUUAGAACGUCGUGAGACAGUUCGGUCCCUAUCUGCCGUG